rnacentral:pre_miRNA from 1 species
AGCCUUCUGUAUCCGUGCUGAAAUUUCGUCACACAUGAGACCACAAGGGCUGAUGAAACUUCAAAGAUAUGUGAAGUG